UACGAAGGGUGCAAGCGUUACUCGGAAUUACUGGGCGUAAAGCGUGCGUAGGCGGUCUGUUAAGUCCGUUGUGAAAGCCCUGGGCUCAACCUGGGAAUUGCAGUGGAUACUGGCAGGCUAGAGUACGGUAGAGGAUGGUGGAAUUCCCGGUGUAGCGGUGAAAUGCGUAGAGAUCGGCAGGAACACCCAAGGGGAAGCCAGCUGGCUGGGCAUUUGCUGACGCUCAUGUGCGACAGCGUGGGGAGCGAACUGG
rnacentral:rRNA from 1 species